rnacentral:rRNA from 1 species
GAUGAACGCUGGCGGCGUGCCUAAUACAUGCAAGUCGAACGCUGGAAAUCUAGCUUGCUAGAUUGAAGGAGUGGCGAACGGGUGAGUAAUACAUAAGCAACCUACCCACGAAGACUGGGAUAAUCUCUGGAAACGGGGACUAAUACCGGAUAGGUAAUCGGAAGGCAUCUUCUGAUUAUUAAAGGUUAAAAACACUGGUGGAUGGGCUUAUGGCGCAUUAGUUAGUUGGUGAGGUAACGGCCCACCAAGACGAUGAUGCGUAGCCGGCCUGAGAGGGUGAACGGCCACAUUGGGACUGAGACACGGCCCAGACUCCUACGGGAGGCAGCAGUAGGGAAUGUUCAGCAAUGGGGGAAACCCUGACCGAGCAACGCCGCGUGAGUGAUGACGGCCUUCGGGUUGUAAAGCUCUGUUGUAAGGGAAGAACGGUAGAUAGAGAAUAUCUAAAUGACGGUACCUGACCAGAAAGCCACGGCUAACUACGUG